AAAUGGGUAAAUGGACCAAAAGAGCUGCAUAUACAAAAAAUUACACCAAAAGAGCAAAUGCCAUUCAAAAGGCUCAAAAGGUUUCCAACAUUAUCGGGAACAGAUUUUAAAUUUUUAUUUUGUGCUCUCGUUUUCUCUCUUUUAGGGUUUCAACAGCAGCAACAACCUUCAUCCACCUCCUCCGCCUCUACCACUGUGAAAUCAUCAUCACCAUCUGUUACUUCAAUUGAGCAGAUGCUUUCGAUUUUGAUUUAGACAUUUUGCGUCAGCUGUUAAUGUUGCAGACGAGGGAGGAGCUACUCAUGUAGCUAUAAUUGUAACCAAGAACUAGUGAAGCUUCCGGUAAUUUGUUUAUUCGCCAAUUCAUAUCUCGUCAUUUUAGUUUCAACUGCCAGCUCUUAUAGUCAUAUCUUGUCAUUUUAACCUCAGUUGUUUGAUAAACCAUUUUGACCAUCAGGCUAUGUUUAAGCAAUCUACAAAGAUUAGGUUUAUUAAGAAAGAAUUGUAAUUUCGCAAUGCUGUAUAGAUAAUACUUCAGCCGGCAUUGUUGUAGCUCAAGUAAAAUAAAUUUAUAGAGCUACAAUAAUAGUCUAGUGCAAUCCAAAUUAGAUUCUGAAUCUGAUGCUUCUGAUGGUGC